CAUUUUGAUCUUUCACCUAUGGUGACCUGAGAACUUCACUUUCUGCCCCAAAUCCAAGUCAAAAUUUAACCAAAACCGACGCCGCUCGUCAUGAAACUCGCAAGACCCAUUAGGCGCCACUUCAGCACCUACACAGCCAGCCAAAAAUCAGAGCGUGUGGCCAACAACAGACCAAUCUCCUUGACUCAAAUCAAAGAGCUUCACGCACACCUUAUCAGAACCCAGCUCGACAAGGACCCGUCUUCGGUCUCAGAGGUUGUUAGAUAUUACGCACUAUCUCCUCUGUUUUUGGAGAAAGCCCUUUUAGUCUUCAAUCAAAUUGAGCAACCCACAUUGUUGAUUUGGAACCAUAUGAUCCGU
rnacentral:lncRNA from 1 species